CCCUCCCAAGCAUCAUCAGAUGGUAACUCAUCAAGGAAUUCUGAGGCAGCAAUACCUAGUUCAACACAGUCAUCAUCUAGUUUGUUUGCAACUAGGUUGGGACUAGAGAAGUUUAUAUAUGAGAGCAAUUCAAGUCGUCAUAGUAAAUCAGAGUUGGAGAUCUAUCUCGAAGAUCCGUCUUCUCCUGGAAUUGGCAAUAGUUCUUUUGAUAUUCUGGCUUGGUGGAGGGUUAAUGGCCCAAAAUAUCCAAUCAUUUCUCGGAUGGCUCAUGAUAUAUUGAGUGUUCCACUUUCAAUCGUAGCCUCUGAGUCAAUUUUCAGUUCUGCUAAAAGAAUACUUGAUGAUUAUCGCUGCAACCUCGGAAAUAAUUGAGGCUAUAAUGUGUUCACAUGAUUGGCUCAAGGGUCGCAUACCAGUUGAGCCGAGAGUUGUCGAAGAUAGCAUACCUGCUUAUGAAUUAUUUGUAGCAACUCGAAAUCAGGAAGAUCAAACUGAUGGUGAUUAAGGUAGGCUUUCAUGUUUCACCCUACUCUAAUGGCACUAGAUUGCUUUAUUCAAUAUUAUACACUGAGCUGUUGACAUUUAUACUCUUUUAAGAAAAAAAUGUGAGUCUCACAUAUUUCAGCAUAUCAGUCUAGCCGCUAAAGUAUAGAAUCAGACCUUUGUGUCCUCGUCGAUCUGAAAUUCUGCAUUUUGUAGUGUUGUAUUUUCAUAUACCUUGUUUGAAAUAUGGCUUACCCUUGUCUAAGCUGACAAUAUUAUAACUUUUCAGCAAUCAAGGAAGAAGAAAGAUCUGAUACAAUGUUUGUG